UGGGGAAUAUUGCGCAAUGGGGGCAACCCUGACGCAGCAACGCCGCGUGAAGGAUGAAGGUUUUCGGAUUGUAAACUUCUUUUGUCAAGGACGAAGAAAGUGAUGGUACUUGACGAAUAAGCCACGGCUAACUACGUGCCAGCAGCCGCGGUAAUACGUAGGUGGCAAGCGUUGUCCGGAUUUACUGGGUGUAAAGGGCGAGUAGGCGGGUUUGCAAGUCAGAUGUGAAAUACCGGGGCUUAACCCCGGGCUGCAUUUGAAACUGUAGAUCUUGAGUGAUGGAGAGGCAGGCGGAAUUCCCGGUGUAGCGAUGGAAUGCGUAGAUAUCGGGAGGAACACCAGUGGCGAAGGCGGCCUGCUGGACAUUAACUGACGCUGAGGAGCGAAAGCGUGGGGAGCAAACAGGAUUAGAUACCC
rnacentral:rRNA from 1 species